CACGUAGGGUGCGAGCGUUGUCCGGAAUUAUUGGGCGUAAAGAGCUCGUAGGCGGUGUGUCGCGUCGGCCGUGAAAACCUGCAGCUUAACUGUGGGCUUGCGGUCGAUACGGGCAUCACUGGAGUUCGGCAGGGGAGACUGGAAUUCCUGGUGUAGCGGUGAAAUGCGCAGAGAUCAGGAGGAACACCGGUGGCGAAGGCGGGAUCCUGGGCCAGUACUGACGCUGAGGAGCGAAAGCGUGGGGAGCAAACAGG
rnacentral:rRNA from 1 species